UACGAAGGGGGCUAGCGUUGCUCGGAAUUACUGGGCGUAAAGGGCGCGUAGGCGGAUAUUUAAGUCGGGGGUGAAAGCCCAGGGCUCAACCCUGGAAUUGCCUUCGAUACUGGAUAUCUUGAGUUCGGGGAGAGGUGAGUGGAAUGCCGAGUGUAGAGGGUGAAAAUUCGUAGAUAUUCGGCGGAACACCAGUGGCGAAGGCGACUCACUGGCCCGAUCUGACGCUGAG
rnacentral:rRNA from 1 species